AAGGAGCUUUUUGGGACCGAAGUCAACCUCCGGAAUUACAGGAUGCGCGCUAAAGUCAUCACAGACAGAUGUGGUGGGCCAGAGGUCAGGGGCCCAUCUGAUUCCAGAGCCAUGUGUACCAGCCAAAUAGAGGAUCCAAGGGGAACAACACCGGACCAGCUUUCGGGUCAGACUGGCUGACUGGAAGGGUUUUCAACUGCCACCCACCCGUGCCAUCCGGCAACGGGGCAGCUCGAGGCGCCGAUAGCCACCCACGGAGGGGCAGCUGGAAUUUUAUUUUGUUUUCGUUUUUUAUUUUUAAUAAAGAUUAACAUACAGUUCUGUGGAGA